rnacentral:rRNA from 1 species
GUGCCAGCCGCCGCGGUAAUACGGAGGGUGCGAGCGUUGUUCGGAAUUAUUGGGCGUAAAGCGCGUGUAGGCGGCUCCUUAAGUCUGAUGUGAAAGCCCCGGGCUCAACCUGGGAAGUGCAUUGGAAACUGGGGAACUUGAAUACGGGAGAGGGUAGUGGAAUUCCUGGUGUAGGAGUGAAAUCCGUAGAUAUCAGGAGGAACACCGGUGGCGAAGGCGGCUACCUGGACCGAUAUUGACGCUGAGACGCGAAAGCGUGGGGAGCAAACAGGAUUAGAUACCCCUGUAGUCC